rnacentral:rRNA from 1 species
AGCGAACGCUGGCGGCAGGCCUAACACAUGCAAGUCGAACGAAGUCUUCGGACUUAGUGGCGGACGGGUGAGUAACACGUGGGAACGUGCCUUUAGGUUCGGAAUAACUCAGGGAAACUUGUGCUAAUACCGAAUGUGCCCUUCGGGGGAAAGAUUUAUCGCCUUUAGAGCGGCCCGCGUCUGAUUAGCUAGUUGGUGAGGUAAAGGCUCACCAAGGCUACGAUCAGUAGCUGGUCUGAGAGGAUGACCAGCCACAUUGGGACUGAGACACGGCCCAAACUCCUACGGGAGGCAGCAGUGGGGAAUCUUGCGCAAUGGGCGAAAGCCUGACGCAGCCAUGCCGCGUGGAUGAUGAAGGUCUUAGGAUUGUAAAAUCCUUUCACCGGUGAAGAUAAUGACUGUAGCCGGAGAAGAAGCCCCGGCUAACUUCGUGCCAGCCGCCGCAGUUAACAC